rnacentral:rRNA from 1 species
AACGAACGCUGGCGGCAUGCCUAACACAUGCAAGUCGAACGAGACCUUCGGGUCUAGUGGCGCACGGGUGCGUAACGCGUGGGAACCUGCCCUUAGGUUCGGAAUAACUCCCCGAAAGGGGUGCUAAUACCGGAUAAUGUCUUCGGACCAAAGAUUUAUCGCCUUUGGAUGGGCCCGCGUUGGAUUAGCUAGUUGGUAGGGUAAAAGCCUACCAAGGCGACGAUCCAUAGCUGGUCUGGGAGGAUGAUCAACCACACUGGGACUGAGACACGGCCCAGACUCCUACGGGAGGCAGCAGUGGGGAAUAUUGGACAAUGGGCGAAAGCCUGAUCCAGCAAUGCCGCGUGAGUGAUGAAGGCCUUAGGGUUGUAAAGCUCUUUUACCCGGGAUGAUAAUGACAGUACCGGGAGAAUAAGCUCCGGCUAACUCCGUG